rnacentral:lncRNA from 1 species
ACCCCCUUUAACAUUUGUAAGCCAUGAAAACUCAGUCAGCCACUUGUCAUUGAAACCAGAAACAUGGUGCUUGCUGUUAUCACUUGCUAAAACUUUAGCUAGGUUGGGAUUAGGAGAAGCAAUGACAUCUGCUUAUACUGACAGUGAAGAGGAAGGUGUAUUCCCCUUUUCAUUAGCAGUCAUUAGGCAAAGAGGCUGAAAAAAAACUUCUACUUCCAUCAUCUGCCUUUUGCUUAGAAGUCACCCUUUUGUUAUUUGCAGAGAACAUGUUCAUUCAGAAUUAAUAAAAUCGAAUAUGGUUAAGAUAUUUUAUCAUAUUUGGUAUACAACUUUUUAAAACAAAA